rnacentral:tRNA from 1 species
AUCUUUUUAAUACCAACUAGUAUGUAUGGCUUCCAACCAUAAAGUCUUGGUUAAACUCCAAGAAAAGAUA